GUCUUACACUUGAUCUCUGAACUUCAGGUAAGUUCAUGUGGACAGCAUAUCAAUCCCUGAUGCA